rnacentral:rRNA from 1 species
UACGUAGGUGGCAAGCGUUUGUCCGGAUUUAUUGGGUUUAAAGGGUGCGUAGGCGGCCCUGUAAGUCAGUGCUGAAAUACCCCGGCUUAACCGGGGGGGUGGCAUUGAUACUGCAGGGCUUGAGUACAGAUGAGGUAGGCGGAAUUGACGGUGUAGCGGUGAAAUGCAUAGAUAUCGUCAAGAACACCGAUAGCGAAGGCAGCUUACUGGGCUGUAACUGACGCUGAUGCACGAAAGUGUGGGGAUCAAACAGG